rnacentral:rRNA from 1 species
GACGAACGCUGGCGGCGUGCUUAACACAUGCAAGUCGAACGGAAAGGCCUGCUUUCCCUUGUGGAUUGCGGGUACUCGAGUGGCGAACGGGUGAGUAACACGUGAGUGAUCUGCCCCCAACUUGGGUAUAAGCCUGGGAAACUGGGUCUAAUUCCCGAUAGGACUGCAGGGUGGUGCCUGUGGUGAAAACGAUUUUCUAGUGGUUGGGGAUGAGCUCGCGGCCUAUCAGCUUGUUGGUGGGGUAAUGGCCUACCAAGGCGGCGACGGGUAGCCGGCCUGAGAGGGUGGACGGCCACAUUGGGACUGAGAUACGGCCCAGACUCCUACGGGAGGCAGCAGUGGGGAAUAUUGCACAAUGGGCGGAAGCCUGAUGCAGCGACGCCGCGUGGGGGAUGACGGCCUUCGGGUUGUAAACUCCUUUCGACCGCGAGGAAGCCACCUGGUUGGAAGGGUGGUGACGGUAGUGGUAGAAGAAGCACCGGCUAACUACGUG